UCAAGUUAUUAAGGGUGCAGGGCGGAUGCCUUGGCACUAGGAGCCGAUGAAGGACGUGAUAAGCUGCGAUAAGCUUCGGGGAGUUGCACGUAAACUUUGAUCCGAAGAUUUCCGAAUGAGGAAACUCACUUAGAGUAAUGUCUAAGUAUCAUUAAGUGAAUACAUAGCUUAAUGAGGGGAACUCAGGGAACUGAAACAUCUAAGUACCUGAAGGAAGAGAAAGAAAUUCGAUUCCGUAAGUAGCGGCGAGCGAACGCGGAUUAGCCCAAACCAAUAAAGUUUUCUUUAUUGGGGUUGCGGACAUAUCAUAACGAAGAGGUAUCGUAAUUGAAGAGGUUUGGAAAGACCCACCACAGAAGGUAAUAGUCCUGUAUGUUAAACGAGAAGACUUCAGAUAUGAUCCAGAGUACCACGGGACACGUGAAACCCUGUGGGAAGCAGGAGGGACCACCCUCCAAGGCUAAAUACUACCUAGUGACCGAUAGCGUAUAGUACCGUGAGGGAAAGGUGAAAAGAACCCCGGGAGGGGAGUGAAAUAGAACCUGAAACCCUGCACUUACAAGCUGUGGAAGCACAUUUCUUGUGUGACCGCGUACUUUUUGUAGAACGGGCCAACGAGUUACGUUAAGUAGCAAGGUUAAGCACUUAAGGUGUGGAGCCGUAGCGAAAGCGAGUUUUAACUGAGCGUUCAGUUACUUGACGUAGACCCGAAACCGGGCGACCUACCCAUGAGCAGGAUGAAGCGAAAGUAAAAUUUCGUGGAGGUCCGAACCCACGAGCGUUGAAAAGCUCGGGGAUGACUUGUGGGUAGCGGUGAAAUUCCAAUCGAGCCCGGAGAUAGCUGGUUCUCCCCGAAAUAGCUUUAGGGCUAGCCUCAAGGUGAGAGAUACGGAGGUAGAGCACUGAAUGUCCUAGGGGGUAUUGCACCUACCGAAGACUAUCAAACUCCGAAUGCCGUCAUCUUAUACUUGGGAGUCAGACUGUGGGUGAUAAGAUUCAUAGUCGAAAGGGCAACAGCCCAGAUCGUCAGCUAAGGUCCCUAAAUGUAAGUUAAGUGGUAAAGGAUGUGGGAUUGCACAGACAACCAGGAUGUUGGCUUAGAAGCAGCCACUCAUUCAAAGAGUGCGUAAUAGCUCACUGGUCGAGUGAUCCUGCGCCGAAGAUUUCCGGGGCUAAAACUUACUACCGAAGCUACGGCAUCAGUAAUGAUGGGUAGGGGAGCUUCCCAUACGGGUUGAAGCAUGACCGUAAGGACAUGUGGACAGUAUGGGAGUGAGAAUGUUGGCAUGAGUAGCGAGAUGUGGGUGAGAAUCCCACAGGCCGUAAACCCAAGGUUUCCAGGGGAAGGUUCGUCCGCCCUGGGUUAGUCGGGACCUAAGCUGAGGCCGAAAGGCGUAGGUGAUGGACAACAGGUUGAUAUUCCUGUACUACCGAUAACCGUUUGAGAGAAGGGAUGACACAGUAGGAUAAGCUAAGCACACUGUUGGUUAUGUGUGCCCAAGCAUUGAGGCAGUCAAAGUAGGCAAAUCCGCUUUGAUAAUGCUGGGAUGUGAUGGGGAGCGAAAUUUAGUAGCGAAGUAGCUGAUUUCACACUGUCAAGAAAAGUCUCUAUCGAGGUUAAAGGUACCCGUACCGCAAACCGACACAGGUGGGUGAGGAGAGUAUCCUAAGGCCAGCGAGAGAACUGUUGUUAAGGAACUCGGCAAAAUGACCCCGUAACUUAGGGAUAAGGGGUGCCACCAUCAGGUGGCCGCAGAGAAUAGGCCCAAGCGACUGUUUACCAAAAACAUAGGUUUCUGCUAAGUCGCAAGACGAUGUAUAGGAGCUGACGCCUGCCCGGUGCUGGAAGGUUAAGGGGAUCUGUUAGAGCAAUCGAAGCAGUGAACUUAAGCCCCAGUAAACGGCGGCCGUAACUAUAACGGUCCUAAGGUAGCGAAAUUCCUUGUCGGGUAAGUUCCGACCCGCACGAAAGGCGUAACGAUUUGGGCACUGUCUCAACAACAGACUCGGUGAAAUUGUAAUUCCGGUGAAGAUGCCGGAUACCUGCGACAGGACGGAAAGACCCCAUGGAGCUUUACUGUAGCUUGACAUUGGGUCUUGGUACUACAUGUACAGGAUAGGUGGGAGGCUUUGAAACCAGGACGCCAGUUUUGGCGGAGCCAUCCUUGGGAUACCACCCUUGUAGUACUGGGACUCUAACCAUAGGCCAUGAAUCUGGUCUUGGGACACUGUCAGGUGGGCAGUUUGACUGGGGCGGUCGCCUCCCAAAAGGUAACGGAGGCGCUCAAAGGUUCUCUCAGUACGGUCGGAAAUCGUACGUAGAGUGUAAAGGCAAAAGAGAGCUUGAUUGCAAGACAUACAGGUCGAGCAAGGAUGAAAAUCGGACUUAGUGAUCCGGUGGUUCUGCGUGGAAGGGCCAUCGCUCAACGGAUAAAAGCUACCCUGGGGAUAACAGGCUUAUCUCCCCCAAGAGUCCACAUCGACGGGGAGGUUUGGCACCUCGAUGUCGGCUCAUCACAUCCUGGGGCUGUAGUAGGUCCCAAGGGUUGGGCUGUUCGCCCAUUAAAGUGGUACGCGAGCUGGGUUCAGAACGUCGUGAGACAGUUCGGUCCCUAUCCGUCGCAGGCGUAGGAAAUUUGAGAAGACCUGUCCUUAGUACGAGAGGACCGGGAUGGACGUACCUCUGGUGUACCAGUUGUUCUGCCAAGGGCAUGGCUGGGUAGCUAUGU
rnacentral:rRNA from 1 species